UGUGUUCGUUAUGCGUGAGGAAGAGGAGGAUUGCUGGUGACUUGAUCCGCUCGCGGCCGCAGAGCGGAGACCCGAUCGCACUACACGCUGUUUAUGCAGCUCUGUCUUUCCUUCAAAAAUACAACAGCUGCGACGCCGCAGAGCACACUCCAUGAAGAUAAGAACCUAUAAGCAUUUCGGCUGGUUUACGUCUUGUGACUAUUU